UGGGUAACCUGCCUCAAAGAGGGGAAUAGCCUCCCGAAAGGGAGAUUAAUACCGCAUAAUAUGUUUAGGUCGCAUGACUUUAACAUCAAAGGAUUUUCUUUAGAAAUUCCACUUUGAGAUGGACCCGCGGCGCAUUAGCUAGUUGGUGAGGUAACGGCUCACCAAGGCGACGAUGCGUAGCCGACCUGAGAGGGUGAUCGGCCACACUGGGACUGAGAUACGGUUCAGACUCCUAGGGAG
rnacentral:rRNA from 1 species